AGCUUCCGGAGCAGCUGGGACUGCUGGCGCCCGCCACUACGCUCGGCUAAUUUUUUUGUGUUUUUAGUAGAGACGGGCUUUCACCGUGUUGGCCUAGCGGUUCUCCAACUCCUGACCUCAUGAUCCCCCCGCCUCAGCCUCCCAAAGUGCUGGGAUUACAAGCGUGAGCCACCGCGACCCGCCAACACUCUUGACAACAGUGCUGUGCUAAGAACUUGGGGGACUUCAAAAAGUUCACCAGUUCCUGUGUCCAUGGGUGAAAAGAUUUUCUACAUCUUUCCUUGACUAGAAACAGAAGUCCUGAAACAAGAAUAUAACGUCAGGAGGCCAGAGGCUUUGUCCUGCCUAAUGUGUUAUUUCCACACUGAAUAAAAGCACCUGAGUCCUGGUAAGUCUAAUUUGCUAGGUGUGGCAAUAUGACCAGUGAAAAACAACAAGGGCAGCAUUUCCUGCAGUUCGGUGGCACAGUAUGGUUCAAAGAGGUAUAAAAGGAAGUCACAGGCAUUUUAAAAAGGUUGUACAUCUAGCAAUACCUAACAAAAUAGGAAAUCAACUUGAGAAAAAGCAGCAAGGCCAAAUAAAUUGAUACAGAAGAAAUGUUUAGAUAUGUUUUUGCAAGUUUCUGCAUAUCUGAAAUAGAACCAAUACAUCACAUGGUAUGUCCAGGAGUUAUAUAGGGUUGAGAUUUUUUAUGGGUUCUGAUUUGCAGAUGAGAAAACAGUGGCAUUGAGGAAUAAAGUGCCUUUCCCUAUGCCUCAUGAGGAAUCAGAGGCCCAGCUGCAAAGAAUUUUCAAGGAAAGAUAUUUCUAGUUCAAUGCUCUAUCCACAAGACAACGCUACAUCUUUCCUUUCACAGUUGUUUAUAUUUGGUUUAACAGCGGUUUUUAUUAAUGCCUUCUAAAUGAUUGAAAUACAGUUUUAAACCUGAAUUGUUACAACUGUAUUGUUACCUUUGUCUUUAUUAGUACAACAAUCUUUUUUCUUGUUUACUCUGUUAAGUGCUAAUGUAAAUAACAGCUUUUAUUUAGCAUAUUUUUGCUGACUGUUUUUACACUUUUUUGCUACCUCUCGCCUAACAAUAUUUGUCCCAUUCUUUUGCAAAUCUUUGAAUUCUAAAUUAAAUGAAGCUAGAUCUAUUCUAAAAGGAAUAGUACAUCAGUGUUCUUGUUUUUCAAUUCUAAUUAAAGCCUUCAACUCCCCUGCACUUACACUUUCUCAUAUUCCAUUGCUGCUGCACAAAUGCGAUUGCAGCUUACACGGGAGUAAUUUUAAUAUAAUUAAAAUGAUCUAAUAUUUCAAUUGUUUGCAGAGAAACUAAGUGUAUUCUCUCAGACACUCAUCAGUUUAACUUCCAGAUAAUAUCAAAGAAAAAAUGUCAUCUUUCUAAUCUCACUGCUGAUAAAGAGAAGUUUAUUUUUAUUCUUGGUGUAAUCAUUUAAAUAUUUUUUUCUCCAGUACUUCCUGAUUGCUUGUUUAAAAUUACAAUUCUGGUGUUAAUAAGCUGUAUAGUUCUAAGAAAAGUCACUUAAUACCCUCAAGGCUUUUGUUUUCUCAAAGGAAGGCUAUUAGACAACCACUCCUUGCCUUCCUUGUGGUAUAGGGUUCAUGGAGGAAGUGAAGGGGGCUUCAGCCUCACCAACUCCCUCCAUCUCCAAUAUACAGAGUGUGAGUCUCCAUCCUUCUUCAGUUAAAACUUUCACAUAGACCAAAUUAGCAUCAGAGUGUAGGUGUUUGUGCAGUUGAUUUCCCUUACUCGGUGGUCCUGAAGAAGUAAGUGUACAACUGAGACAUGCAAUUGUUGCACCCUUCUGUUUUGGGCACAAACUUUAAUGUCCAUUUCUUGGGGUCAAUGGCCACAAGAGGUGAAAAGGAUCUUCAUCUCCUCAAUAUGAUGACAAGGUCUUUAAGCAGUCAGGUCCAGUAUAACUGAAAGGUAGAUGUGUCAGUUCCUGAACAUACAACUACCUCAUUUUCAGGAGUAACGUAAGUAAAAAGUUACCAAUUAUUAACUGACAUUUUCAGGAAUAACCUAAGUAAGAAGUUACCGAUUAUUUUCAGGAAUAACUUAAGUAAGAAGUUACUGAUUAACUGAAGUAACAGUAUAAAGAGCAAAGAUGAAUCAAAGUGAAAAUGCAAAGAGUGAUUGUUUUCCUGUUUCAUCAGACAUAUCACACAGGUAUCACAUUAGAUGUGGUUCUCAGCUCCUCUUCAGGGGCUGCUGUCCUGGAUCACACACAGGAUAGGUGCUUAGUAUCUUCCACCAGCUUGAUGAACAUCUAGGCCUUCUGGCAUUGCACAGUUGCCAUUAAGGAAAGCAGCCCAUUCCUAGUCAACCUCUAUUGGCAUUCCUCUCCUUCAGCACCUGUCAUUUAUUCAUUAACUCACAAGAACAGUUAAAAACAAGAGAAACAGAUGUUGUUGAGCUCAUCAAACUGUAUACUUUUUUUCAGUUGAAUCUCACCUAGCUUCAAAUGGGAACAAGAUGUUCUUUAUGCUUUGGAUGUUCUUGUACUGCUGAUUUCUAAUUCUAGGAUUUCCCUAAUUCAAUGACAUUAAAAGUUAUAAAAUCCCUGGUAAACUAUGUCUAAGUGAGGGUAAGAUCUUUAUUUAAUGAAGGAGAAGGGCUUUUAGAAAUGAAUACUGAUUCCUUAACAGCAAUCCAGACUUCUUCAAAAAAGAAAAUAAAAAUAGAAGCAUAAAAUUUUACAGCUGUUAUGAAUCAGAAAUCUUCAGAUUUUUUCCCCCAUAAACCUCGUUUUUCCAUCAAAGCCUUGAGCUACACACACAGUCUAAUCUGAUGAGUAUUAUCAACCUUUAAUUUUCUUUGCUACUAGUCUGUUAUAGUCUUUGAUGUAGCCAUCCUGAUCUUCCUAUAAUUUGCAGCUUUGAUAGCCAAAGGAAGUAUAUUUUCUCUAAAGCAUGAAAAUUUUAGAGGAAGCACCCUAUGAUGCUCUUUCUUAUUAUCUAAUUUAGUAGCAUCAUAGAAAAUCAAAUCCAAUAUAAAUAAUUUAAGGAAUAACAAGAAUGAUUAGGAAAAUUCUUAUUUAAGAAUGUAUAAUGUAACCAUCAUUUAUUAUACACCAACUACAUGCAGAUUCUGUAUUAGAUUCAUGCAUUCAACAAAUAUGUAUAGAAAAUACACUAUGUGUCAAGCAUUGUUCUAAACUCUUGGGAUAUAACAGUGAACAAAACAGGCAAAAUUCCAUACAAGCAUGGUGUUUUAGUUAGCUUCUAAAAUAGCCCGUAAUGAUCUUCACUCCCUAGUAUUCACCCCCUUGUAUAAUGUCUUUCCCUUGGGUGUAGGCUAAACCUAGUAACUUAUUUCUAAUAAAUAGAAUAUCGUAUAAGUGUCAGUUCAGAGCAUAGGUUACAAACAUAAUGCAACUUCUGUCUUGGAAAUUCUCACUUUGUCUCACUUUC
rnacentral:lncRNA from 1 species